UAUUGGUUUUUCUUUUCUUUCCUCUCUAUCCUUUUCUUUCCUCCUACGAAAUUCACUGACGAGUCCCUCCUCCUACGAACUUCCUCAGUCCCUCCUCCUCCUACGAACUUCCUCAGUCCCUCCUCUUCCUACGAACUUCGUUUCUUCAUGAUUUCCUCUCUCCUUCCUGCAGUUAUGCUCUCAACCUCUCACCAUAUGUACUAGGUUGGUUUUCCUGGAAAAAUAUUCAUUCAAUUGAGAAACAAACACUGUGUUCUUCUUCAAUGGGAAGGUGGAAAAUCGGACUCCAUAUCUCUUCAAGGAGAUACAGACUUGGAUCAUGAAGAGGUUUCAUGCCAAUCCAAGCACAAACAUUGAACUGAAAUAUCUGUCAGAGCUGUCUAUUGGGGAAUCAGAACUUUCAUCCCUUUUCUUAGGAAUCAGAACUUCAGUUAAGGUUAUUUAUCUAUCAGGAAACCUUUCUUUCUGAAACUUUCAUUAAUUUAAUCUUUGAACUUGCAGAGUGAUCAUCUAAACCUGGUCAUCGUACACUUGAAGGAUUUGAGCUCAUUGUGUUCUGUACUUUAAGGAAACUGUUAGAGAACUUCAUCCAAGUUUGUCGUAGUCUGAAGAAUCACAUAGCAUAAUUACUGAUACACUUAAGCAGCUGGAGUCUGCUGUAUUCAGAUUGUGAGAGCUUAAGCUUCAGAGAUGCAGAAGACCCAGGAGCAACAAAAUCGCGCUAAAACCAGCAUACUGGAACCUCUUUUCCACACAACUUCAACAAUGUCAGCAGCAGUGGAGCAAACUCCGCAACCCUUCAUUCUUCGCCUUCAACAAUCCCUCGUCUCCUGCUCCAAGGCAGUUGAAGCUGGUGAUUUUCGUCAAUCGGAAUAAGUAAUUUCUGGGAUUGUUGAGUUUCUCAGCUCAAUUUCUGAUGCUGCUGUUUCAGAUUUUGACGAUAAAGAAACCCAGAACAAUUCAAUCGUUGUUCUCUCUCAUAUUCACUCUUUCCUUUGAAACCCUUCUCUUGAUCAGGCUAUUGUCGAUGCCCUUUCAUUUGAGUUGCCCAAAGCUAUUUCCAAGUUUGCAGGAGUGUCCGAGAGGUGCCGUGGGAUCGUUAAAACUAUUUUUGAUCAUUUCUUGACAAAAUGUAGCAUAUUUUGGAAUUAGUAUGUGUUUAAAAUUAUCCAACCCCAGGCUAAAAUGACAUUUUCGCUCCCAACUUUGAACUUAAGAGCCUAAUAGCUCAUUUUAAACUUAUUAUAUGAUAAACAGGCUUAGUUUUAAGUUUCUAAGACUUAUUCUAAUCUAUUUAUGCACAUUUAAUACUUGUUUUAUCGUUGUAGGUCAUAUUUAGGAUAAAAUAAGGCAUUUUCGCUCCCAACUUUAAAAUAAAGAACCUAAGGACUUAUUUUAAACUUAUUACAUGUUUAAUAUGCUUAGUUUUAAGUUUCUAAGACUUAUUCUAACUACUUAUACACAUUUAAGGCUUGUUUGGUCGUUAUAGGACAUAUUUAGGCUAAAAUGACAUUUUCGCUCCCAACUAUGAACCAAAGAGCCUAAGGACUCAUUUUAAACUUACUAAAUGUUUUAUAUGCUUAUUUUUAACUUUCUAGUACUCAUUCCAAUCCAUUUAUGCACAUUUAAGGCUCAUUGUGUCGUUAUAGGUCAUAUUUAGGCUAAAAUGACAUUUUCGCUCCCAACUUUGAACUUAAGAACCUAAUGACUCAUUUUAAACUUAUUAUAUGAUAAAUAUGCUUAGUUUAAGUUUCUAAGACUUAUUCUAAUCUAUUUAUGCACAUUUAAUGUUUGUUUUAUCGUUAUAGGUCAUAUUUAGGCUAAAAUGAGGCAUUUGCGCUCCUAACUUUGAACUAAAGAACCUAAGGACUCAUUUUAAACUUAUUACAUGAUUAAUAUGCUUAGUUUUAAGUUUCUAAGACUUAUUCUAACUACUUAUACACAUUUAAGGCUUGUUUGGUCGUUAUAGGACAUAUUUAGGCUAAAAUAACAUUUUCGCUCCAAACUAUGAACUAAAGAACCUAAGGACUCAUUUUAAACUUACUAAAUGUUUUAUAUGCUUAGUUUUGACUUUCUAGAACUCAUUCCAAUCCAUUUAUGCAUAUUUAAGGCUCAUUGUGUCGUUAUAGGUCAUAUUUAGGCUAAAGUGUCAUUUUCGCUCCCAACUUUGAACUUAAGAACCUAAUGACUCAUUUUAAACUUAUUAUAUGAUUAAUAUGCUUAGUUUUAAGUUUCUAAGACUUAUUCUAAUCUGUUUAUGCACAUUUAAUGCUUGUUUGAUAGUUAUAGGUCAUAUUUAGGCUAAAAUGAGGCAUUUUCGCUCCUAACUUUAAAAUAAAGAACCUAAGCACUCAUUUUAAACUUAAUACAUGUUUAAUAUGCAUAAUUUUAACUUUAUAAGACUCGUUCCAAUCUAUUUAUGCACCUUUAAGGCUCAUUAGGUCGUUGUAGGUCAUAUUUAGGCUAAAAUGACAUUUUCGCUCCCAACUAUGAACUAAAGAACCUAAGACUCAUUUUAAACCUAUUAAAUGUUUUAUAUUCUAGUUUUAACUUUCUAGGACUUAUUCCAAUCCAUUUAUGCCCAUUUAAGGCUCAUUGUGUCGUUUUAGGUCAUAUUUAGGCUAAAAUGACAUUUUCGCUCCCAACUUUGAACUUAAGAACCUAAGGACUCAUUUUUAAAUUAUUAUAUGAUUAAUAAGCUUAGUUUUGAGUUUCUAGGACUUAUUCUAAUCUACUUAUACCCAUUUAAUGCUUGUUUGAUCGUUAUAGGUCAUAUCUAGGCUAAAAUAAGGCAUUUUCGCUCCCAACUUUAAAAUAAAGAACCUAAGGACUCAUUUAAAACUUAUUACAUGUUUAAUAUGCAUAAUUUUAACGAUCUAAGACUCGUUCCAAUCUAUUUAUGCACCUAUAGGGUCAUUGGGUCGUUAUAGGUCAUAUUUAGGCUAAAAUGACAUUUUCGCUCCCAACUUUGAACUAAAGAACCUAAGGACUCAUUUUAGACUAUUAGGACAUUGUCAUUAGUUUCUUGAAUGUUAAAAUGUGAUAUUUAAUUUGUAUUUAAUCUAAUGUUUA